rnacentral:rRNA from 1 species
GACGUAGGGGGCAAGCGUUGUCCGGAUUUAUUGGGCGUAAAGAGCGUGUAGGCGGCCUUACAGGUCAGCUGUGAAAACUCGAGGCUCAACCUCGAGACGCCGGUGGAAACCAUCAGACUAGAGUCCGGAAGAGGAGAGUGGAAUUCCGUGGUGUAGCGGUGAAAUGCGCAGAUAUCAGGAAGAACACCCGUGGCUAAGGCGGCUCUCUAGUACGGUACUGACGCUGAGGCGCGAAAGCGUGGGGAGCGAACAGG